UACAGAGGGUGCGAGCGUUAAUCGGAAUUACUGGGCGUAAAGCGCACGUAGGUGGUUUUGUAAGUCGGAUGUGAAAUCCCCGGGCUUAACCUGGGAACUGCAUCCGAUACUGGAUGGCUUGAAUCCGGGAGAGGGAUGCGGAAUUCCAGGUGUAGCGGUGAAAUGCGUAGAUAUCUGGAGGAACACCGGUGGCGAAGGCGGCAUCCUGGACCGGCAUUGACGCUGAGGUGCGAAAGCGUGGGAGCAACAGGG
rnacentral:rRNA from 1 species